rnacentral:rRNA from 1 species
UACGUAGGGGGCGAGCGUUGUCCGGAUUCAUUGGGCGUAAAGAGCUCGUAGGCGGUUCGGUAAGUCAGGUGUGAAAACUCCAGGCUCAACUUGGAGACGCCACCUGAUACUGUCGUGACUAGAGUCCGGUAGGGGAGCAUGGAAUUCCUGGUGUAGCGGUGAAAUGCGCAGAUAUCAGGAGGAACAUCAGUGGCGAAAGCGACUUCCUGGACCAAUACUGACGCUCAUGUGCGAAAGCGUGGGGAGCAAACAGG